GUUUGGUGGAGUGCGAAGCGUUGUUGAAUAGUCGCUAGGCGCUUGAGGAGGCUUGGUUCACAUUUUCCUUUGAUUUGCAAGGAAGUUGAGAGAUCUCAGUGUGUGACACUGGCUUCCUCUUCUGAUCGUUACGACUCGGAAAUUCCACCCUAGGAAGAUACACACAAAGAAAACACCUAUAGCUGUGAUUCCUCUUUGCUAACACCUUUUAACACUUUCUGGGACCAGGUGCCAGAAAUCUGGGGACAAGAGAUGAUGUCCAUUUGCAAACUCAGAGAUGCAGAUUUGCUUUAGGUAAAUCUCAAUAGAACUAUCUCCUCCCCAAAGCAGCAGCUAACAGGAGAUGGAACUCACCCUGGACUGAGCUAAUAUCCUGAACUACUAUUAAUAAUUAAAAUACAAUAUCCAGAGGGUAACAGCAAAUUGUAACCUUUUUUGGGAUCCAGGAAGGAUGAUAAUAUUUUGAAUAGACUCUAUGGAGAUUAGAGGUAGAAACAACUAUAAGGAUGGAGCGUACUGAACAGACAGCUAGCAAGCUUUGCCCACCAGCAGAUUUUGCUCAAGAGUGAUCCCAGAGUUUGCUGUUCAAGCUGUGGGUCUAGAGCAGGAACUCUUUCCAUGGACAGGAACCGUCGUGACCUCCGCUACAAGUAAGAAGUCCAGACUACCCAGCCAUGGUGCUCUCUCUCUCCGCUUUGCUCUGAGCAUUUACCACCAGCCUGCCUGACUGCUUGAAGCCUGUAUUGUUUCCAAGCUCCAGCAACAAGCAAGUCCUUUGAAGCCUUCUUCGUGAACCUGGUGAGAUGCCUAUUCAAUGCACAGCGCAGCCUGUUCCCCGCUUCCCUCCUCCCUACUAAUGACUGCCAUCCCUCUCCUCAGCCCUCCCUUUCUCCUUUCUCUGUUUCUCUCUAAACGUUUUAUUAGGAUUUGUUAGAUGGCUGUAAUUACUGACUGCACACACAUAUGUUAGCUAGGCACAUUGCACUACACCUUGAAUCGGAAACAUGUUUUUAAUUUGGAUGACCUGUUUGAAUUUUAUCCCAAUGAGCAACUUUCUAUAAUAAAGCCUAUUGAACUUUC